CCUACGGGAGGCAGCAGUGAGGAAUAUUGGACAAUGGGCGAGAGCCUGAUCCAGCCAUGCCGCGUGCAGGAUGACUGCCCUAUGGGUUGUAAACUGCUUUUAUACAGGAAGAAACGGCUUUACGUGUAGAGCUCUGACGGUACUGUAAGAAUAAGGAUCGGCUAACUCCGUGCCAGCAGCCGCGGUAAUACGGAGGAUCCAAGCGUUAUCCGGAAUCAUUGGGUUUAAAGGGUCCGUAGGUGGAUAAUUAAGUCAGAGGUGAAAUCCUGCAGCUCAACUGUAGAAUUGCCUUUGAUACUGGUUAUCUUGAGUUACUAUGAAGUAGUUAGAAUAUGUAGUGUAGCGGUGAAAUGCAUAGAUAUUACAUAGAAUACCAAUUGCGAAGGCAGAUUACUAACAAUUAACUGACGCUGAGGGACGAAAGCGUGGGUAGCGAACAGGAUUAGAUACCCUGGUAGUCCACGCCGUAAACGAUGGUCACUAGCUGUUCGAUGUACAUUGGUACAUUGAGUGGCUAAGCGAAAGUGAUAAGUGACCCACCUUGGAGUACGCUCGCAAGAGUGAAACUCAAAGGAAUUGACGG
rnacentral:rRNA from 1 species